rnacentral:rRNA from 1 species
CCGACGGUGAGAGAUGAAAGCUGGGGGAGCAAACCGGAUUAGAUACCCGGGUAGUCCCAGCUGUAAACUAUGCAAACUCAGUGAUGCAUUGGCUUGUGGCCAAUGCAGUGCUGCAGGGAAGCCGUUAAGUUUGCCGCCUGGGAAGUACGUACGCAAGUAUGAAACUUAAAGGAAUUGGCGGGGGAGCACCACAAGGGGUGAAGCCUGCGGUUCAAUUGGAGUCAACGCCAGAAAUCUUACCCGGAGAGACAGCAGAAUGAAGGUCAAGCUGAAGACUUUACCAGACAAGCUGAGAGGUGGUGCAUGGCCGUCGCCAGCUCGUGCCGUGAGAUGUCCUGUUAAGUCAGGUAACGAGCGAGAUCCCUGCCUCUAGUUGCCACCAUUACUCUCAGGAGUAGUGGGGCGAAUUAGCGGGACCGCCGCAGUUAAUGCGGAGGAAGGAAGGGGCCACGGCAGGUCAGUAUGCCCCGAAACUCUGGGGCCACACGCGGGCUGCAAUGGUAACGACAAUUGGUUUCGAAUCCGAAAGGAUGAGGUAAUCCUCAAACGUUACCACAGUUAUGACUGAGGGCUGCAACUCGCCCUCACGAAUAUGGAAUCCCUAGUAACUGCGUGUCAUUAUCGCGCGGUGAAUACGUCCCUGCUCCUUGCACACACCGCCCGU